rnacentral:rRNA from 1 species
CGGCCUCGUAAGUUCUCUGUGAAAUCCGGCCGCUCAACGGUCGGGCGUGCAGGGAAUACUGCGAGGCUUGGGACCGGACGGCGUCGAGGCUAUUCCCGGGGUAGGAGUGAAAUCCUAAAAUCCUGGGAGGAGCACCGGUGGCGAAAGCGCUCGGCGAGGACGGAUCCGACGGUGAGGGACGAAAGCCAGGGGAGCAAAAGGGAUUAGAUACCCCCGUAGUCCUGGCUGUAAACAAUGCUCGCUUGAUGUCGGGUAUCCUCCGAGGAUGCCCGGUGCCAAAGGGAAACCGUUAAGCGAGCCGCCUGGGGA